AGCUGCGCUUUGAGCACAUAGCGAACUAUUCUUUCGCCUUUUACUAAAGAAUACCGUGUGCUUGUCGCUAUUUAAGCAGCAUACUCAUCUUUUUGGAGGGUUUUUUCAAGAUAAAACCC